UACGGAAGGUGCAAGCGUUGUUCGGAUUUACUGGGCGUAAAGCGCGCGUAGGCGGAUCGCUAAGUCAGGGGUGAAAUCCCAGGGCUCAACCCUGGAACUGCCUUUGAUACUGACGAUCUGGAGAUCGGGAGAGGUUGGUGGAAUUCCGAGUGUAGAGGUGAAAUUCGUAGAUAUUCGGAGGAACACCAGAAGCGAAGGCGCCAACCUGGCCCGAUACUGACGCUGAGGCGCGAAAGCGUGGGGAGCAAACAGG
rnacentral:rRNA from 1 species